rnacentral:lncRNA from 1 species
CCCAGAUCUGUGCCUCGACACAAUCCUGUCUCGGAGCUCUACGGACAAUUCCUUCGACCUCAUGGCUUGGUUUUUGGUCUGACAUGAACUGUCAACUGUGGGACCUUAUAUAGACAGGUAUGUGCCUUUCCAAAUCAUGUCCGAUCGAUUGAAUUUACCACAGGUGGACUCCAAUCAAGUUGUAGAAACAUCUCAAGGAUGAUCAAUGGAAACUGGAUUCACCUGAACUCAAUUUCAAGUCUCAUAGCAAAGGGACUGAAUACUUAUGUAAAUAAGGCAUUUCAGUGUUUUAUUUUUCAUAAAUUUGCCAACUUUUAAAAAAAAACAGUUUUUGCUUUGUAAUUAUGGGGUAUUGUGUGUAGAUUGCUGAUGGGAAAAAAAAAGAUAUUUAAUCCAUUUUAGAAUAAGACUGUAACGUAACAAAAAGUGGAAAAAGUCCAGUGGUCUGAAUAUUUUCCCUAGGCACUGUACAUAACAUGCAUCCAUGUAUGUAUCUAUUGAUAUGUAAUGUGACAGACAUGGCUUAAUUAUCCGGUUGACGUAACUAGUGUACUAGUCAAGUUCUAGCUACCUUAUAGCCAAUAGCUACACUCGCUGACUUCCACUCCCCACCUUCUCCUUCCGUCUCUCCUCGUGACAUGCCUGAAAGACCCACCGACACUUCAGGAGUAAAGACAGUUCUCUAUCCCCCUGGUAUAAGGACUCGCCCUCCAACCUCCAGCGUCAUGAUGGACUUCAUUACAUUACUGUGCUGCCUGCUGGGCCUGUUAGAACUACAGUAGAGACUAUAGAGCCAGCCUAUUGUUCUACAGACAGACUCUGCUCCAUAGAAAUAUAAUUUAUAGAACGGGCCUCCCCAUUCAAGUCAAUGAUGGCAUAAGAAGAUUGUAAUUCUAUGCUUUGCUUUCUGUGGGCCCCGAUCCAUGUGCUUAACUUGGACUUUGUCUAAAUCACCCUGUUGAUGUCUCAAUGCGACGAAAAAAAGUAUAAUGAUGUGGUUAGAGUUUAACAUUCCUAUCGUCAGUCUCAUCCGUGAUUAUCAACAUCAAUAUUGCAUGAGCAAAACUAAGCAGUUUAGCAUUAUUAUGAAAAAUAUUUAUAUCAGAUUACUAAUCCCAUACUCUCAGAUUAUACACAAUUAUAUCAGAUUACUACUCCCAUAGUCUCAGAUUAUAAACAAUUAUAUCAGAUUACUAAUCCCAUACUCUCAGAUAAUAAACAAUUAUAUCAGAUUACUAAUCCCAAACUGUCAUAUGGUAAACAAUGAUAUCAGAUUACUAAUCCCAUACUGUCACAUGAUAAACAAACAGGUUAAUUUAUCCACCCACCUCCACACUGAACUAUACAAUAGGUCAAAAUGACUGAUUCAUUCACCGCCUUAUUACCGAUUUUGGAUGAGUUUUAAAAUGAUAAUUUAAUCAGUAAUUAUUAUAGCAGCAUUGGUUUUUUUAUUUAUGAAAUAAAAAAAAACAUCACUCCAAAUGGGUCAACUGCUGUCGGCUGUUUGUGACAUAUUAGAGCACACGACAUUAUAAUAACCUAGCAAAUAGAGCCAACAUCUUCUCCACUCCAUCACACCUCAGAGAUUUACAGUUAAAAAUAGAAAUAUAUUAGUUCAACAUGGACAAGUACUGUGCUUUCCUAGGCAACAAAAAAAUACAAACAAAUGCAGAUUAUAUCUUCUAUAUUCAGUUACAAAUUAUUUAAUUUUUUUUUCUUUUUUUUCCCCAUCCUCCAUGGAUCAAAUGAUUCAGCUAUUUGAAUCAUUGAUUUGAAUCAUUGAUUUGAAUCAUUUAAAUUAUAGAUUUGAAUCAUUUGAUAUCAUAUUUGAAUAAUUUAUUUUAAUUAUUGAUUUUAAUCAUUUGAUUCAGCAUAUUUGAGACAGCCUGCGUGCCAGUCUCUUUGUGCUCUUGCCAACUCCUUAUCACUAAUUGCUUGGCAUGACAAUAAUUGAGUUGGUAUGAUAGCACAAACAGUCUUGCACCCAGGCUACAUUUGAGACAGCCCAAGUGCCAGUCUAGCACCCAGGCUGUAUUUGAGAUGGUAUGUGUGCCAGUCUAGCACCCAGGCUGUAUUUGAGAUUUCCCCCACACUAUGGUUAAAGUAACUGUCCAGGGAAAAUCUCACUUUUAAAAGUUCAUUUUCUGUUAACUCAUACCCAAACAAUGUUGUUGACUCAUCCUAUACCGGCGCGGCAGGUAGCCUAGUGGUUGGAGCGUUGGACUAGUAACCAAAAGGUUGCAAGAUUGAAUCCCUGAGCUGACAAGGUAAAAAUCUGUCCUUCUGCCCCUGAACAAGGCAGUUAACCCAUUGUUCCUAGGACGUCACUGAAAAUAAGAAUUUCUUCUUCUUGCCUAGUUAAAUGAAUAAAAAAUAUACUGUACUUGUAUUUGUGCCCAUAAAUUGGUGAUAAAAAAAUAAAAGAAAUAAAAAACAAUCCACCUCAAACUUGCAUCUCAGACUGUUUCAAAAAUACUUGCUAUUUCCUCAGAGGAUGAUGUCAUCCUCUUGAGGAGGAUGAGCUGGCCAAUCAGCAGUCUAUUUGCAUUAAUAUUCUGUAGUUGGGGUACGCCCACAACAUUCCAAAAAAAGAAAAGAUACUUUUUAACAUACUUAAUAUUUUUUUUUUUAUGGAACAAAAACAAUUUCCUUCAUCUUGUAAUUAAUUAUAGGUCAUAUUUCAUAGAAAUCUGGAAACACUGGACAGUUAGUUACAGUUACACUUUAAGUUUAAGGUUAGGGGAGGAGAAACCAAUCCUAGAUGUGUACCUAGGGUAAACUUCACCCCAAAGCCAGUUUUGUUAGUAUAGUUUCUGCAAUACAACACAGCUACAACUAUUCACGUACAGUGAUGUUCCAGACUCAACAGAAAAUGAAAUAAUACAAAGUGGCAAAUGCAUAUGAUUGUGAUUUUAUUUUGUCAUUUUCUUUUUUAAUAAAAUAUUGAUUAUAUUAUAA